UCUUCCUCCAACCAGCCGUUCACUUUGGGGAUGAAGAUAACGCCUCUCUUUUCGUUUCUUCCUCAUUUCUCAUGCUUUUCUCUCAAAUCAAACCAUUUCCAAGCAGCCAAACUUUAAUUUCUUGAUAAAAUCAAAUAGGAAACUUGAUUCCAAUCUCAUUUCCUCCAUUAACUUCACUAUUCAAGUUGGGUUAUCAUGGGUUUUAGAGAGAGAAAACUUCAAAAUUGUCAAUUGUGACGUUGAGUGCCUCAGUAAACUUAGUAUAAUAGGUAGGAUAUGAUUGGUAUUUCAAUAAAGAUGUACAUGUACUUGCAGUUAUAUAUUGGAGUUUUGUAGCCUUUGGACUUAGCACUUCGGUGCUUUUUGGUUAUGUGGGAUAGAUGUAUUUUUGUGCAAUUUGGUUGUGUGGCACUACAACAAAUUUGUCUAGGCAUCUAAAAUAUUGUCAAUGAAAAUUGCAUUUAUGUCACUGUUAGUAUUUGGUGGCGCAAAUUUCAUCGCCACGGCGUUUGUCAUGUGUAACUAAAUGGUGAUGUAUUUUAUGUGUCAUGUAUUGAUGACAAUGUAGUGACGAUAAUAUAUAAUGUCAUCAUAUGAUUAAUAUUUGGUGAUA